GUGGUGGUGAACCUGGAACCUACCACAGGAAGCACAUGGGCAAAGAGAGGGAGAGAGAGAGAGAGGGGGACAGAAGGACGAAAACGGAGAAGAAGGGAAAUAGAGAGAGAGCGAGGGAAAAGAGAAAAAAAAAAGAAGAAAGAAAACCACAGAUAAUCUGCUUCAAUACCUGCUGAUGAGAGAAAACAACAACCAACAUCUGUACGAGUCACAAUGAGCAUGUUAAGGAGCAACAGCCGAUCAAGACAGUGUGUGUCUUAGUGUGUGUGGGGAGCCACAGCCCCAUCCCUCAGGACAUGAAGCAGACACGGAGGAGGCCCGGACCCCAGACAGCCAGAGGCCCCCCAGGGCAUGGGAGCCCCCGGAGGACCACCGCAGGGAGAAUAGCA